rnacentral:misc_RNA from 1 species
AUGUUCGCGACAGACGCAUCCGUGCGCCGCGAGUGCAAAAUCAUAAUGCCUGAGUGUUCGUGUAUGCGCGUAACUAUUUAUACUCUAACAAUUUUGUGAUGAGGGUAAUGAGCAAAAAGUGCCGUGAGCCGCGCCAAGGUAUGUUUUUCACGUGCACCCUCCUUCUAAAUUGUUAUAGAAUUCUGUUCAGAUUUUGAUAGUGCUUUAAUUUGUAAAUUAUAGUGUUUUUUGAUGCCAAAUUGUAAUAGUUUUGUAGCGGUAACCUUAACCUACCUAAUUAUGUAUAAUUAACCUAAUAGUUCUGCCGUUUAAGGCCUGAUUUACCCAUGUAAACAUUUCUUGAUAGCAAAAAUCCUAGACUUUCAUUAGUGAAAUAGUGUUUAACUGAAAGCCUAGGUCCCAUUGUAUAGAAAAUAACUUGAUUUAUAGAAAUAUUGUUAAUAGUUUAAGUUAUAGAACAAUAAAUAAUGUUUGUGUUUUGACUUUCAUUUCACAUGCAAAUAAACAAUACUAGGGCUUAGGUCACAUUGUUAGGAUUACUAUCGCCAGAUAGCCCAUGAAAUGCCCUAACACACACUACCUUUCGUAUUGAGAUAACCCCCAUAGUUUGUUUUUUAUCUCAAGAUAGUCUCCACCUAAGGGCCGAUUUCACAUAGUUUUUUAUAGUUAUUCGGUUAUAGUAUUUCAGCCCUUAAGGUAUGCAGGGUGUGUGUGGUAUAGUUCAGUAGCGCACGUCAUGGGGCGUCUGACGCUAUGUGUCCUGUAAUGAUAUCAUGUACCAAUUGUUUGUAAUACGGCUGUUAAAUUGAAAGGUCAAUAAAACUGAGUUGGUCGGAGGGACGAGAAAUCGAGGUGCUCGUCACGGUAAAGUUUCGAGCUCAUUCGGUGCGCAAGCGCCGCCGUACAAAUCGUAGUCAUCGGUAUAGAUUUUUGAUAGUAUAACAAGUAAAUAGUGAAAAGUAAAUAGUGUAAUUGUAGUAUGGUAAGUAUGUCGAAGCUCGUCCCUUCAAGACUCCUGAAAAAUAUAUGAAGACUUAUUAUUUCACCGGCAUCCCUGAACCUAUAGUAGCAGAAAGUCUAAAACCCGUCUAAACGUAUUCUUGUUUCUGAAAUUCCUGUUUCUCGCCACAUCGUAAAUACAGUCCACUCGCCCAGACGUCCAAGAACCAGCGACCGACGGGGCGUCAACGUCUCGAAGCCACCCCAUAGUACCUGCUUCUGAGCUACGUCCGUCCCGCACAUCCGUUUGGUCCUUGCGACCCGGAUCGCCUGGGAAGCGAGCCAGGAACUUCAGCUGAAGAUACUGAAGAGUUGUAAACAGCGAGUAUGCCUGUGACAAGAUCGCAAGGAAGAGCCGCUCAAGCCUGGAUCAUCGACGCCAGACCGGGCCGCCGCACACCCCCCAUCGUGCACGACCAGCCGCCGUUCUCUCCAACCACCACCGAGGGGAGUGAGCAGCCCCCCCCUCCCCCGAGGGGGGGUGAAGACCUACCCUGCCCCGCAGCUGAGAGGGGAAGUGAGGCGCCGCCGCGCCCCCCUGCCCCGCAAGGGGGUGAAGACCGACCGCGCCCCCCUACCCCGCGAGGGGGUGAAGAGCGACCAGCGCCGUCGUCGUUGAUGCAGACUGAAGCGUCGUCAUCACUGAGGCCGCCUGGAACCAGUGUUGAAGAAUAUAGUUCAGGAGGAACACUGAAGGCUUGCGACAAGACAUACAACCGAGCUGUACCGUUGACUACCCGGGUUGACGCCCGUACCGAACAUAAGGCACCGUCGCACAGAUCGACGGCAUCAAAUAGAAAAAUUAGAAAUGCGCGUGAAGACUUAUUGAAGAUUAAGUUGGAGCUAGCGCAAAUAGCACUUCAGAGGGCCGAGGAAGAAUCGGACGACGAUUAUAUGGAUGAUAGAAAUUCCAAUGAAGAGUACAUCCGUUCCUGGUUGGAGGAAGCUCCGGAACCAGACCCGCAGGACGCCGCCGCUGAGGGAGGACAUAGACCACCAGAUACCCUGGACCUGCCCGAGCCCCCCCCCUCCGCGGUUAUAGUGAAUCCGGUCCUGCGUGGAAUAAGUACUGCUCCUGGAAGAGACGCCGCCGCCGAGGGAGGACAUAGACUGCCGGGUACCCUGGACAAACCAGAGCCCCCCCCCUCGAAGACCAUAGAUACUGAAGCCCUUCCAUCAAUGAAGAAACCAGUUGAAGAUACCGCAGGGGGUGAAGGGCUCCGUCCGUUUAUCACGGAACUCACCUCCGCCAUCGCAUCGCUAGCCGGCAAUAGAAGCGAAGAGAAACCGGUGUACCACAACCCUGCUGCAUCGAAAGUCAUCAUGAAGCUGCCGAACUCGCUACGUGUACAGUGGUACAAGACAUAUACUGAGAAGUACCAGUCGACGCCGGACUUGAGUCUCUUCAGCGACUUCAUCACCGAACAAGCACGCUACUGCAGCGCGUUUGCACCGCCUGAAAACAUCAGUGAAGCUACUGGACUUAGACGUGUGACGCAGAGAACACACACCACUAUAGACAAGAAGCCCGCAUCGAAGUGCCGCAUCUGCGAGAUGGAUGGUCACCGAUCGCUAGACUGCCACAAGUUCGUGAAGGCUUCUGCGGACAAGAAGUGGGAACUAGCCAAGCAGCACAACAUGUGCUUCCGCUGCCUCCGCCAUCGUCAGCACGGACACAGAUGUCAGAAGAAGAGAUGUGGAAUCGAGGGCUGCACAGCAUCACACCAUCAUCUGCUUCACUACAAGAAGAAGGCGAGCACUACUGAAGUUGCACAAGAAGCGCAAGAAAUAGUCGCAAGUUCACGCAACCACACAAAUCAAGCGUUCCUGAAAAUCGUUCCGGUGCAACUGUCCGGACCGGCGGGAGAAGUGCGCACCUACGCACUGCUGGAUGACGGCUCAACCGUGUCACUGAUUGACGAAGAGCUGGCAGACAUGAUCGGUGCAGAGGGACCAGUCGAGCCGAUGAAAAUAGGCGCCAUCAGCGACGUGACUAUCGACACGCCCACGUCGAAGAGAGUUGACCUCACGCUAUCGACCUGCCAUAGGAAGAAGAUACCCUUCAGGGCGCGCACCAUACCACGCCUGCAUCUGUCGCCGCAGUCAAUCAGCAAGGAUGACAUCGCUGACUGCAAGCACCUGUUUGAUCUGGCAGAUCAGCUGACGUACAACGCAGGGACGCCGAAGAUUAUCAUCGGGCAAGACAACUGGCAUCUGCUCCUAGCAACAGACAUCAGAAGAGGGCCCCAGCAUCAGCCGAUAGCAUCGUUAACUCCCUUGGGCUGGGUGCUGCACGGAGCCCGCACUAGGAUUCUGGGACAGCAGGUGCACUACGUCAAUCAGCUGAACGGCGCCGAGGAAAGCAUAGACAAGCAGCUUCGUGAAUACUUCGCACUCGAGUCACUCAUCAUCAACCCGUGUCGACCAGCUUCUGACCCGGAGAAGAGAGCGGAAGAUAUAUUACAACGCAGUAUAGUACAGUUGGAAGAUGGACGUCUUCAGACUGCGUUGCUAUGGAGGAGUGACGAGAUACAGAUGCCGGACAGCUACGCGACUGCGAUGAAUAGACUCGUAUCAAUAGAGAAAAAACUCGAUAAGAAUCCUGCUCUGAAGACUAGAUAUAUAGCGCAGAUGGAUUCACUAAUAGAAAAGGGCUACGCAGAGAAAGCGCCCCUUGAACGUACACCGGGAAGAACGUGGUACCUGCCGCACUUCGACGUCUUCAACCCUAUGAAACCGGAGAAGCUUCGUAUAGUUCACGACGCAGCAGCGAAGACAAGAGGGAUGUCACUGAACGACUACCUGCUCACGGGUCCGGACUUGCUGCAGUCACUGCCCGGCGUGAUGAUGCGAUUCCGACGUCACCGCGUCGCCGUCUCCGGAGAUAUCACUGAAAUGUUUAUGCAGGUGAAAGUAAAGCCAGAAGACAGAGACGCUCUCCGAUAUCUGUGGCGAGGAGAGCGGCGAGAGGGGGCGCCGGAAGAGUACCGAAUGACGUCAAUAAUAUUCGGCGCAGCAAGUUCACCGUGUACAGCAAUAUUCGCUAAGAACUGGAAUGCUAAACGCCAUGCGAACGAACACCCAGAAGCAGUAGAAGCAAUAGUCAAGAAUCAUUACAUGGACGAUUACCUGGAUAGCUUCAGAAGUACAGAAGAGGCGACGCGCACAAUCAAGAUAGUACAAGAAAUACAUAGUAAAGCGCGCUUCGACCUAACGAAAUGGGUAUCCAACAGCGAAGAAGUGCUGCGUGAAUUGGUACCGGGCCAAGAAACAACACAGAUUGUUAAUCUUGGAAAUAUAGAAAACACAGAGAAAGUACUCGGCGUGAUAUGGAAGCCACACACGGACGAGCUGAGCUUCAACUUAAAACUCGCGCGCCUACCUACUGGCCUGCUCGACAAGGAAACACCCACCAAGAGAGAGGCGCUCAAGAUAGUUAUGUCGCUAUACGACCCGCUGGGCCUCGCCUCGCCUAUAACAAUCAGGGCGAAACAAAUACUACAAGAAGCCUGGAGGCGGGGAGUCGACUGGGAUCAACCUCUCGAUGAAGAACUAUCAAGCCAGUGGAGGGCGUGGAUAAGUCAUCUCGAACAGCUGAAGAACGUAAACAUACCGCGCUGUUAUCCUGGGUACAGCGAGGCUACAGAAAUACAAGUACACGUGUUCACCGACGCCAGUGAGAAGGCCUACGCUACAGCGGUGUACUGGAGGUCAACGACCCGUGAUAACAACGUGCACGUCAGCCUCGUCAUGGCGAAGGCGAAGGUGGCGCCGCUGAAGCUGCUGUCAAUACCGCGCCUCGAGCUGCAAGCCGCGGUGAUGGGUACGCGCGUCGCAGCCGCAGUGAUAUAUGAACACAACGUCAAGCCCGCCUCCGUGACCUACUGGAGUGACAGCAGAACCGUUCUGACAUGGAUAAGGAAAGGAGCCAGAUCGUACAAGCCAUUCGUCGCACAUCGCUUGGCCGCCAUAGAGGAAAAUAGCAGAGUCGAAGAGUGGCGCUGGGUGCCUACAAAAAGCAACAUAGCCGACGCCGCCACCCGCGACGUCCCGACGCAUUUUCACACCGACCACGAGUGGUACCGCGGCCCUAAGUUCCUCUACGACGACCCAUCGACAUGGCCGACCGAGUCACCAGCUGACAGUCAACCGACAGGCGAGGAAAAAACAAUCACGCUCAUACAAGCGGGCGCAGCAAACCUCAUAGACGUCGUUCCCGACCCCGCUCGAUUUUCAAGAUGGGAGCGAUUGCUGCGCGCCACAGCCAGAGUACUACAGUUUAUAGCGUUGUGUAAAAAACAACAUACAGAAAAAACGUUCUACAAAAGAACAAAGAAAAACAAAGAAAACGAUCCUGAUUGGUCGAGAGCGGUGCGAGCGCCCCGCGCGCCCGCCGAAGCUGCGCGCGCCCAAAUAUACACACGCAAGUUUAUUAUAUUGGACGCGACAUAUAUUCAAAAGGCAGAGAAGCUGUUAGUUCGUGUGGUGCAACAAGAAGCCUUUAAACAAGAAAUAGCCAGUCUCGAGAGCAACGAAACAGUCGCAAGUAGUAGCCGGCUGUACCCGCUGCGCAUAGAACUAAACGACGGAGCUAUAGUACUGCGAAGCCGCAUAGCUGCUGUAGACAAAGUCGCUAAAAGCGUGAAGAGUCCGCCUGUGUUAGACGGCGAUCACCGUAUUACACAGCUAUAUAUAGAUUGGACGCACCGUAGCCUACAACACAGCGGCACCGAACUCGUCGUGAAUGAGGUCAGACAGCACUACUGGAUUGUGCGCCUGCGCCCGACAGUCAAGCAAGUCAUCGCGCGCUGCCUGCACUGCCGCAUACGUCGCGCGCGCGCGCCGACGCCGGCAACCGGCGACCACCCGAAGACACGCCUAGCUCAUCACCGCAGGCCGUUCACAUACACCGGGCUUGAUUAUUUCGGCCCGCUGUCAGUCACCGUCGGUCGUCAGCAUCACAAGCGAUACGUGGCGCUGUUCACGUGUCUCACAACAAGGGCGAUUCAUCUCGAGAUCGCGCACAGCCUCAGCGCGGACUCAGCUGUGUUGGCGCUGCGCAGGUUCGCAGCGCGACGCGGCUGUCCCACCGAAAUCUACUCCGACAACGGCACCAACAUGCACGGUGCUGACCGUGAGCUGCGUGAGGCCUGGCAGGAGGAGGCCAGCCGACGCGGCAUCGCCUGGCGCUUCAUCACGCCUUCCGCGCCUUUCAUGGGAGGCGCCUGGGAGCGCUUAGUGCGGUGCGUUAAGACCGCGCUAGGCGCCACGCUGCACGAGCGCCACCCACGCGAGGAGGUCCUCGCGACGCUGCUCUGCGAGGUCGAGUACGUCGUCAACAGCCGGCCGCUCACCCACGUAUCUGUGAGCGGCGACGACGACGAGUCCAUCACACCGAACCAUUUCCUGCUGGGCGGCUCGGCACGCCUGCCGAGCCCCGGCACGUUCGACGAGCGAGACAUCGACAGCAAGAAGCACUGGCGGCGCGCCCAGAUACUCGCCGACAUGUUCUGGCGCCGCUGGGUGCGCGAGUACCUGCCCGAGCUCCAAUACCGGCGGGAGCCGCACGCCCGCGGCCCCGCGCUGCAGCUGGGCGACCCCGUCCUCAUCGCCGACGGCAACCUGCCUCGCAACACCUGGCCGCGAGGCCGGGUUGUGGCCGUCUACCCGGGCGCUGAUGGUGAAGUUCGGACCGCUGACGUGCGCACCGCAGGUGGCAUACUAAAGCGUCCGACGAAGAAACUCGUGCCGCUGCCUAAGUAAUCGGGCAGUGCGGCAUCACCGGCGUCGCGGCGCCCUCGCGCUAUCACCGCGCCGUCGCUCACCGGAGAUGCGGCAUCGCUGCGAGCCAGAGUCACGAGUCAUCGCUGCGGGUCAUCGCUACGGGUCAACGCUUCGAGUCCCUACAUCGUGUCAUCGUGUCAUCGUGUCAUCGUUUAAUAGACUAAAUAGUGAUAGUGAAAGUGAAAGUGAUAGUGCCUACGCUCUGCCGCACGGCGGGAGAGAUGUUCGCGACAGACGCAUCCGUGCGCCGCGAGUGCAAAAUCAUAAUGCCUGAGUGUUCGUGUAUGCGCGUAACUAUUUAUACUCUAACAAUUUUGUGAUGAGGGUAAUGAGCAAAAAGUGCCGUGAGCCGCGCCAAGAAGGAGGAGCGGAUCCGGGUGCUGAAGCAGAAGCUGGCGGAGCGCGAGGCGGCGGCGGCGGGCGUGACGCAAGAUGUACAGGACGAACACAUCUGAUCGCAAGGCAAUCUUCGAUAGAAAUAUUAGAUUAAUAGCUGAAUUUCAUGUUGAAUAGAACUCUCAUGGCGCCGUAGUGAAUUUCUUUUAUAUUGAUAAGAAAUAAAAGUGUUCUUAUAUUGUUAGUUAAACUGGACUAAGUGCAUAACGUUCGCGAUGGAACGUUCAACGCGCAGAACUAACCUAGCUAAUCAAUUACUAUUAUAUACAGUGCCGGAAGGUACUCAUUGUUUCGUUCUAAGUUAUGUGUAGGUGAUUCUACAUAGUGUGCACGGUUUACGAGACACGACAUACAUGUGAACAUACUUGUUGAUAAAUAGUUGAAUGUAAUUGAUCGUUGCUCAGUGUAUAAUAGAAUGAAAGUAAUGUUAACAUUCAGAUAAAGUCACAGAAAUAUCCUCGAAAUCAAAGACUUUGAUGUACCGUCUGUCUAUGAUUUGAUAUAGAUGUUAAACAAAAUUAAACUAAAAAAAGAAACCUUAAA